rnacentral:rRNA from 1 species
GAUGAACGCUAGCUACAGGCUUAACACAUGCAAGUCGCGGGGCAGCAUGGGGGUUGCUUGCAAUCCCCGAUGGCGACCGGCGCACGGGUGAGUAACGCGUAUCCAACCUGCCCUUCACCACGGGAUAACCCGGCGAAAGUCGGACUAAUACCGUAUGUUGUCCAUUGACGGCCUCCGAUUUUGACGAAAGGCUUGGCGGUGAGGGAUGGGGAUGCGUCCGAUUAGCCAGACGGCGGGGUAACGGCCCACCGUGGCUACGAUCGGUAGGGGUUCUGAGAGGAAGGUCCCCCACACUGGAACUGAGACACGGUCCAGACUCCUACGGGAGGCAGCAGUGAGGAAUAUUGGUCAAUGGGCGUAAGCCUGAACCAGCCAAGUAGCGUGCAGGAUGACGGCCCUAUGGGUUGUAAACUGCUUCUAUGCGGGGAUAAAGUGGCCCACGUGUGGGCUUUUGCAGGUACCGCAUGAAUAAGGACCGGCUAAUUCCGUG